CUGGCAGCAGCAGGGGAUUAUGGAACCAGCUUCAAAUAGCUCCAACGAAUUCCCUCCUCUACCAGAGGGUUCACCGCCUUUGCCCCCUGAUUCUCCUCCACCUCCACCCCCUUUGCCACCUUCUCCAUCCCCACCUCCACCUCCCACAUCUCCAUCGCCACCUCCACCUCCUCCGCCUCUACCAACUCAACUUCCUCCUGCGCCACCUUCAUGCCCUCCUCCACCCUUCAUACCUCAACCACCAGUGCCAACUCAACCGUCACUGCUAUCCCAGCCCAUGCUACCACCCCAAUCAGCAAUACAGUCUUCUCCGCAGUUGGCAUAUCAACCACCUGUACCUCAUGAAUUCCGG
rnacentral:lncRNA from 1 species